ACACCGUUGGUGAAGUGGUUAUCAUGCUUGCCUUCCAUCGUCACUCUCUGAGCUUGAGAAGCAAGCGGCUCGGGUUCGAUUCCCGAACGGUGUA